UUCCCCUCCUGUCAUCUCACCGUGGUCCCUAGAGGAGCUGUCUCUCUCUGUUUUCUGUGCUCCACUCUUUUACCCCCGUUUCUGAUGGGGAGGUGGCAGUGUGCACACAUGCCCGUCUGGGGCUAGGAGUCUGCGUGCAGAAUCCAGGAAGUGCUUUCAGCCUCUGAAAUGACACUUCCUAUGUUCCGACAACAAUGGAGUGCCAGUCACACAGGAUGAGCACACACGGCGGACGGCGGCUGGCUGGGGUGCCCUGACCUCCGCCAACUGACUUCCCGCCUCUGUCCUAACUGGCUUGACUUCCGCCAUCCGGUACCCACCACCCGCCCUGACCUUGACCUGGCCCGGCGGACGCCCCCGCGGCCCUCGGGAAUUUCUGCGGACGCUCCCGGGACCCCCGGAGCGAACCGCGGAAGACGACAGGACUACGGCACGCCGACGCCUCCGCGCAAAGUGAUUUCUCGGAAAGCCGAGCGCUUCGAAG
ensembl:lncRNA